GCUUAAAGGGGCCGUAGCCGGACCGGUGUGACCCCCCCGUGAAAUCCACGGGCUCAACCCGUGGGCGUGCGGGGAUUACUACCGGUCUAGGGGACGGGGGAGGCCGAGGGUAUUCCCGGGGUAGGGGUGAAAUCCUGUAAUCCCGGGAGGACCACCCGAGGCGAAGGCGCCCGGCCAUCCCGUUCCCGGCGGUGAGGGCCGAAAGCCGGGGGAUCAAAUGGGAUUAGAGACCCCAGUAGUCCCGGCUGUCAACGCUGCGGGCUACCUGCCGGGAGGGCUAAGAGCCCUCUCGGUGGGACAGGGAAGCCGUUAAGCCCGCCGCCUGGGGAGCACGGCCGCAAGGCUGAAACCUAAAGGAAUAGGCGGGGGGGCACACAAGGGGUGGGGUGUGCGGUUUAAUGGGAACUGACACCGGAAACC
rnacentral:rRNA from 1 species